rnacentral:rRNA from 1 species
CAAUAGCGUAUAUUAAAGCUGUUGCGGUUAAAAAGCUCGUAGUUGGAUUUCUGUCAAGGACAACUGGUCCGCCCUCCGGGUGAGCACAUAGUUUGGUCUUGGCAUCUUGCUGGAAACUGUUGCUGCACUUGGUUGUGUGGCGCAGCAUCCAGCACUUUCACUUUGAGGAAAUUGGAGUAUUUCAAGCAGGCACAUGCCUUUGGACACAGUAGCAUGGAAUAAUUAGAUUGGGCUUUUGCUCCAAUUUGUCGGUCUCUGGAGCUGAGGUGAGAAUUAAUGGGGAUUGUUGGGGGCAUCCGAAUUUAGCCGUCAGAGGUGAAAUUCUUGGAUCUGCUAAAGACGGACAACUGCGAAAGCGUCUGCCCAGGAUGUUUUCAUUGA